rnacentral:rRNA from 1 species
UCGAGAAUCUUCCGCAAUGGACGAAAGUCUGACGGAGCGACGCCGCGUGAAGGAUGAAGGCCCUCGGGUUGUAAACUUCUGUCAGAGUUCAAAGAAACGGUAGUCAAUAACAUUGGCUGCCUUGACAUCAGGCUCAAAGGAAGCACCGGCUAACUCUGUGCCAGCAGCCGCGGUAAUACAGAGGGUGCAAACGUUGCUCGGAAUUACUGGGCAUAAAGCGCGCGUAGGCGGCCAUGUCAGUGCGGUGUGAAAGCCCCCGGCUCAACCGGGGAACUGCACUGCAUACUGCAUGGCUAGAGCUUAGGAGGGGAAAGUGGAACUCCUGGUGGAGCGGUGGAAUGCGUAGAUAUCAGGAGGAACGCCAGAGGUGAAGACGACUUUCUGGCCUAAUGCUGACGCUGAGGUGCGAAAGCUAGGGUAGCGAACGGGAUUAGAUACCCCCGUAGUCC